rnacentral:rRNA from 1 species
AAUCCGCUAGUUCUUUUAUAAAUGAGGAAUAAUCUUUGUUUGAUAUGACAAGUGAUGACGUUAGUUUAUGAAUAAGCCCCGGCUAAUUACGUGCCGGCCGCUGCGGUAAUAAGUAAGGGGCCAGCGUUGUUCGGGAUCAUUGGGCGUAAAGGGUGAGUCUGCGGAUAUGUAAGUCUAUGUGUAAAAUACCACAGCUCAGAUGUGGAACUAUGCUAGAAACUGCAUGACUAGAGUCUGAUAAGGGAAGUUAGAAUUCCUGGUGUAAGGGUGGAAUCUGUUGAUAUCUUGAAGAAUACCGAGGCCAAUGCGAACUUCUAGGUCAAGACUGACGCUGAGUCACGAAAGCGUAGGGAGCAAACAGGAUUAGAUACCCUGGUAGUCUACGCUGUAAACGAUGCACACUUGGUGUUAAUCGAAAGAUUAGUACCGAAGCUAACGUGUUAAGUGUGCCGCCUGGGGAGUAUGCUCGCAAGAGUGAAACUCUGAGGAAUUGACGGGGGCCCGCACGAGCGGUGGAGCAUGUGGUUUAAUUCGAUGAUACGCGAGGAACCUUACCAGGGCUUGACAUAUACAGGAUAUAGUUAGAGAUAACUACUCCCCGUUUGGGG